CUUGGCACUCCGCUUCUCUUGAGAGGUCAAGCACAAGAUUCUUCAAGAUAGUCAAGUAUUGGAGUAGCUCAGCUCAAAGAAGAGCCCAAAGGCAACAUUUCAAGCUAGUCAUGCGACUGACAUGGUGUUCGCGAAGAUUGCUCCUUGGUGGCUUUCAGUUUUCUUGCAGGACCUUAUCACAAGCGGCGAGAGCUGAGCCGGCGCCGCCGGCGGGCCAGGCCGGCCCGUGGCACCUGUACACGGCCGUGUGCCUGCAGCGGCUGCCGGUGGUGGCGCCGCCGCUCAGCGAUACGGAGCGCCGCUUCGCCGCCCUGCUGCGACAGCUCGAGUUCGAGCGCAGCCUCAAGUCCUCUCACGAGAUUCGCCACGAGAUGGACAUCGCCACGGCCGAGGCGCUGCGGGCCUCCGAGGGCGACGACCCCGACCUGGCCGAGGCGGCCAGCCUGCAGACGGCCGCCGACUUCGAGGACGCCUGCGCCGAGGAGCUGGCCGGCUUCGAGCCGGCGCCCACCAUCACAGAGGCGGACCGGGCCGGCGACCAGCGCUCCCUGCAGAGGCGGCUGUCCAGUCGGCUGGUGCUGGUGGUGCAGCAGCGACUCGGCGCGGGCACCAGCUGGAUGCUGCCGCAGGGCCGCCACCAGGACGGCGCCACGCUCAGACAGGUGGGGGAGGGGCUGCCGGCGACACGCUCAGACGUGGGGAGAGGGGCUGCCGGCGCCACGCCCAGACAGGUAGGCAGAGGGGCUGCCGGCGACACGCUCAGACGUGGGGAGAGGGGCUGCCGGAGACACGCCCAGACAGGUGGGCAGAGGGGCUGCCUGAGGCACGCCCAGACAGGUGGGGCUGCCGGAGCCCGGCCGCUUAGCUCACCAGUUCACCACACCAGCGGCCGGGCACUCGCAGCUGCGGGCCAUUGGGGCAGCGUGGGACGUCACCUUAAUUUGUUCUGUGCAUGGUUUGACUUUUCUGCAUCGUGAUAGCCGUAUACAGUAUCAAAGCGUCGCGUGUCCUGACAGGAUCCGCCCUGCUUACCGACUCGAUGGAUUGUCAUCUCGCCCAUGUCGACUGCCGAGUACGGCCUAUACUGGCCUGUACCGCCGCCAGUGCCAGUGACACCAGCCCAUCCCGAUCGGGAGCAAACAAUCAGCGCCGAGGAGCGGCCCGAGCCGGGCUCUCACUACCGGCCCGCUGGGAGGGGGUUCCUGCAGCUGUGCUGCUGAGGUGGACAGUAAGGACACCGGGCGUCAAAUGACGCUACUGGGAGGAGGGAUUCCUGCCGUGCUGCCGAGGUGGACAUGGACACCGGGCGUCAAAUGACGCUACUGGGAGGAGGGAUUCCUGCAGCUGUGCUGCCGAGGUGGACAGUUGGACACUGGGCGUCAAAUGACGCUACUGGGAGGAGGGAUUCCUGCAGCUGUGCUGCCGAGGUGGGCAUGGACACCGGACGUCAAAUGACGCUACUGGGAGGAGGGAUUCCUGCAGCUGUGCUGCCGAGGUGGGCAUGGACACCGGACGUCAAAUGACGCUACUGGGAGGAGGGAUUCCUGCAGCUGUGCUGCUGAGGUGGACAUGGACACCGGGCGUCAAAUGACGCUGGCUCUGCCAGUAAUUGUGACCCGUCGCAUUGACCUGUUUUACAGACGGCUGAGCAGACCCUGCAGGCUAUGGUAGGACCCAACGUGAACGCGCAGUUUCUGGGCAACGCGCCGUGGGGCUUCUACAAGUACAAGUACCCGAAGCCGCUGCAGCAGGAAUCGGGUGCCGUCGGCGGCAAGGUGUUUUUCUACAAGGCGGUGCUGCGCGGCGGCUCGGUGGAGCCGGUGGCCGACCGGGUGGCCGACCACCGCUGGCUAACGGCGGCCGAGCUGGGCGGUCAGCUGCGCUCCAGGUACCGGCGGGCCGUGCACCGGCUGCUCAUAGACCACGACUGAGGGCCGGCCGCCGGCUCCAUAGACCACGACUGAGGGCCGGCCGCCGGCUCCCAUAGACCGUGACUGAGGGCCGGCCGCUCAUAGACCGCGACUGAGGGCCGGCCGCCGGCUCCCAUAGACCACGACUGAGAGCUGUGCACCGACUGCUCAUAGACUGCGACUGAUGGUACUCGCCUGCGGCGCCAACUGGAGGCAUCCCAGCCGAGCGUUAUCCAGUGCAGUGUCAGCAGUCAGCACCAACCUCCUGUGUAUGGGUGUGUGUGUGUUUUACGCGUGCAGACUGCGCCGUCAUGACGGAUAAAUGUUCCGUGUGUCAUAAAUAUGUCGUGUGUUAAACCUUGUUUGUCAAUUGUCAUCUUUCACAAGAAAAUGUUGAAAUACCUACGAGCGUGAAUCAUGUUUGCUUUUAAUGCAACUACGGGAUAACAGGCUACUAAGAAAUGUGCUCAUUUUCAGUGUCCGCGAUUUCGAUUUGAGUGUACUGGUGGGCCUCCGAAACAUCUGAAUCCAGCCGAUCCAAUGCAUCCAGUCAUUGCUUCUUCCUGUGCUGAGGGCUCGUUCAGUAUUUCCCGAAAUUGUCCGUCGGCUGUUACUGUAUCCAUCGGCAGACGACCGAGCCGGGGAGACCGAAACCUGCCCCCAUUUACGACAAUGGGACGUUGAAAGGGUCGUUUUCCCCGGCUCUACCCGGCUGCAGAUUUUCACAGCAUCAUGUUUGUUCUUGAGCCCAGUUGAGCAUACUCCGCUCAUCUGUCACGCGCUACGCAGUCGACAUGACUUCGUAAAUCAUUUGUAGGACGAAAUAGAAUGUGCUUGGAAUCGACGCCUACGUGGUUAGGAGACAGCCAUGUGUCAUUCAUGACAAUAUGGAUAUAUUUAA
rnacentral:misc_RNA from 1 species